UACGAGGGGGGAGCUAGCGUUGCUCGGAAUCACUGGGCGUAAAGGGUGCGUAGGCUGGAUCUUUAAGUCAGGGGUGAAAUCCUGGAGCUCAACUCCAGAACUGCCUUGAUACUGAAGAUCUUGAGUUCGGGAGAGGUGAGUGGAACUGCGAGUGUAGAGGUGAAAUUCGUAGAUAUUCGCAAGAACACCAGUGGCGAAGGCGGACUCACUGGCCCG
rnacentral:rRNA from 1 species